rnacentral:rRNA from 1 species
GUACGUUCAUCAGACACCACAAAAGGUGUUGAUUCAUCUUGACAGUUGGACAGUGGCCAUGGAAGUCGGAAUCUGCUAAGGAGUGUGUAACAACUCACCAACCGAAUGAAUUAGCCCUGAAAAUGGAUGGCGCUUAAACGUAUUACUUAUACUUUACCAUUAAAGUAAAUGCUAAACUUUAAUGAGUAGGAGGGCGUAUGGAUAAUUUAGAAGACUGAUAGUGAUAUUAGUUGGAAUUAUCUUUAGUGCAGAUCUUGGUGGUAGUAGCAAAUAUUCAAUAGAGAACAUUGAAGACUGAAGUGGAGAAAAGGUUUCACAUGAACAACACUUGGAUGUGAGUUAGUCGAUCCUAAACGGUGGGUUAACUCCAAAUACAUAGAUACUUGUAUCUUGUACCGUGAAAGGGAAACAGGUUAAUAUUCCUGUACUAUAUCAAGGAGGU